CUCAAAUUUGAAAUCUGGUCCCCUUUGGGGGCCCGAGUUGUAAUUUGAAGAGGAUGCUUUUGGCGAGGCGCCGUCCGAGUUCCCUGGAACGGGACGCCGCAGAGGGUGAGAGCCCCGUACGGUCGGACGCCGAGCCUCUGUAAAGCUCCUUCGACGAGUCGAGUAGUUUGGGAAUGCUGCUCAAAAUGGGAGGUAAACCCCUUCUAAAGCUAAAUACCGGCCAGAGACCGAUAGCGCACAAGUAGAGUGAUCGAAAGAUGAAAAGCACUUUGAAAAGAGAGUUAAAAAGCACGUGAAAUUGUUGAAAGGGAAGCGCUUGCGACCAGACUUGCGCCCGUCGGAUCAACCGUCGCUUGCGGCGGCGCACUCCGGCGGGCUCAGGCCAGCAUCAGUUCGCUCGGGGGGAGAAAGGCGGCGGGAAUGUGGCUCCUCGGAGUGUUAUAGCCCGCCGUGUAAUACCCUCGGGUGGACUGAGGACCGCGCGUAUGCAAGGAUGCUGGCGUAAUGGUCGUCAGCGACCCGUCUUGAAACACGGACCAAGGAGUCGUCCUAAUAUGCGAGUGUACGGGUGUCAAACCCCUGCGCGUAAUGAAAGUGAACGGAGGUGAGAGCUUCGGCGCAUCAUCGACCGAUCCUGAUGUUCUCGGAUGGAUUUGAGUAAGAGCAUAUUGGGCCGGACCCGAAAGAAGGUGAACUAUGCCUGUGUAGGGUAAAGCCAGAGGAAACUCUGGUGGAGGCUCGCAGCGGUUCUGACGUGCAAAUCGAUCGUCAAACAUGGGCAUGGGGGCGAAAGACUAAUCGAACCUUCUAGUAGCUGGUUUCCGCCGAAGUUUCCCUCAGGAUAGCAGUGUUGAAUUUCUCAGUUUUAUGAGGUAAAGCGAAUGAUUAGGGACUCGGGGGCGCUUUUUAGCCUUCAUCCAUUCUCAAACUUUAAAUAUGUAAGAAGCCCUUGUUACUUC
rnacentral:rRNA from 2 species